UAACAAUGUAUUAUAUAGAGUUUAUAAAACAUAUAUAAGCAAAUGUAUGACAAGAAUAACUUAAAUUCUGUGAGAGGAGAAAAGAAGUAUGCUGUUGUAAGGCUCUUAUACUACAUAUAAAAUAGUAUAAUAUCACUUCAAGAUAUAAUAAGUUAAAGAUGUACAAUAUAAGCACCAAAUAACUGGAAAGAGAGACACUGUUCGGGAGACUCAAAAUUGUUAAGAUGUCAGUUCUCCCCAAACCAAUUCAAAAUAACCCCACCGUUUUAGGUUAAGGUAUAAAUUAUAGGGAGACUGUGCUUUAGCAUCACAAAGAUUCCUGGUGAAGGACACUUGUGCACACUUGUGCAUAGGUAAUACAACCUCACACAUUAGGGCAGCCAGCUGAAGAGAACGUGUAAAACCUAAAUUUAGAUUUUUAGAAACCUGAAUACUUCAUAAUGAAAACAACACAAAUUAAGACAUUGAGACCAUAAAAAAAUUAACAACCAUCUCGCUGCCUCAACACAAAACAGCAUUACAUUUUUUAUGGACUUUUUUUUUUUUUAAGUAAGCAUCUCCAUUUUAAAAUUGUUGCCGUUAACUGCAUAGUGUUAAGAAUAAGGAUGUUAGAUCCAGAAUACCAGAGUUUGAAUUCCACUUGUAAUCACUUAGCAGCUAUAUGACCUAGGACAAGGUACUUAACUUUGUGCCUCCAUUAGCUCAUCUAAAAUAUGAUGGUAUCAGCAGCUACACAAGUUUGUUGUAAGGAUGAAAUGGAUUUUUAUAUGUUAAGCAUUAAGAACAAUGCCUGGCUCAUGGCAAGCAAUAUAGAACAUAUUAUUAUUACAUUAUAAAAUAUAACAUCAAUUUUAUAAAAUACAACAAUAAUAACACUUUGCAUUUUCCCAUGCUGUUUUAUAUAUUUGACAUGCAGCUGGCUCUCAAAAAAUUUAUGAAAAUAAUUAUGAAGUUUUAAAUGGUAGUAUUACAUGGAAUAGACUUACCCUAUUCUACUUAAGUAUUUCCUUAAAAUUAAAUCCCACUGGUUGACUUUUUUCCCCUACAGAUAAAAUCCCAGAAGUGGGAUUACUGGGUCACAGGGCAUUACAUUUUCAAGCUUGUUAGAUUAUACUACCUAAUGCGGUCUCAAAAGUUCAACCACUUCGUAGGGCCAUGGCCACCGGGGCAUCAGUACAUCUGACAAUGGUGGGUAACACUAAGAACAGGCUCCUGACUUAACAGGUGGAGCAUAAGCCACUUUUGAGUUUUAAUUUGACUGCUAGUGAGGUUGAACAGUUUUCCUUAUGUUAAGUGAUUAGCUUUUACUUCUUUUAUUGUGAACUGACUGUUCAUAUCCUUUGUAAAUUCUUCAGAGACCUCAAGUGUUUCUUAACAGUUUCGGUGAAUUUUCUAUGCAGCGCGUACCCCUGACUUUUGAAAGUCGGCAUUAUGCCACUUUGCUUUACGAAAGAUCUACACUGGCACCUGUUUUCACUAACCGGAAGGAAACCUUAAGAGGAUUUUCACUUUUAUGAAAAAAGGCAGAAAGUGAAGACUGCAUUCCACGUUUGUUUUGCUGCGAGCCUUCACAGAGACAGUGCUUGCUGGGGUAGUGAGAGGGACCCGCUGCACUUCCUCCCUGCGAGCUACACUCAGCACCUUGAUGGCAAAGCUUCCAACUGUGUCGUGAGCAUCUGUGCUUUAUCUCUAUUUAUUCUGUGCAUCGGUUAGCAAGGUAUGGCCUCAGGUAUCAGAAAUGCCUGAGAGGUUAUUUUUUGGACAUAGGAAUGCUCAAAAUGUUUUCCAUAUAAAUUAAUGGUAAUCGCUUCUUUGUUUUAUGCCAUUUUGGCCUAUGAAAGUUUUCAUAGGAAUGCUCUACUUGUGGACAGCAGGGGAAGCCCGUAAAUAUUUUAGCCUUUUGUCAUUUUUACAAACAAUUUUCAGGUUGGUUUUUUGUUUUUAUUUUCCUUCUCUUUUGCAAAUACAAGAAAUUUUCGUGUCACAUCUUUUGAUUCUUUUCCUUUGCAAUUUCUUGCAUCACUUAAGCUUCUAGCAAUCUUUCCCACUCUGUAAGUUGGAUAAAUGUUCUAUUUUCUUCAAGCUUUUCUAGGGCUGAUUUGCUAACAGGGAGUGUGUAAGGCAUCUGGCACUUUGGUGUCACUGUGAGGUGAAGUAUGGAUGGUUCUAUUUUCGAAGUAGCUAUUCAAAUUCCUCAAUGCCAUUAUUGCAACAUUUAAAAAUUGCAGCAAAAUUUGCAUUCAAGAAGGCAUGAACACCAGACAGAAUGUUUUUCCUUUGCUGAUGUUCUCUACAGGUACAAGGAGUGGGAGGAAGAGGAUGAGGAAGAGUCACUGAAGAAAAUACCUAAACAAAGGACAGUCCCUCAAAAUUGGCUCAGCACCCCAUUUGCAAGCAGGCUUGGAAGAACAUUCUUCUCCCGUGGACAAGGAGCCCCACUGCCCAGAGGGAAGGAGGCUGGUGCUGUGCUCUCUGUGGCAAUUAGGAGGUGUUGGCCUAGAAUAUUUCCAGCCACAGAGAAGUUAGAAAUUAUAAUAUGUCAAGAGUCAGAAUAAAGAAGGAACAAGAGAAAGACCAAAUGGGGAAAUCCUCAAAGCCAACCCCCUUCUCAGGUCAUUUUAAAUCAAUAGGAGAAAACCGGAACUUGAUUCUUCCAGUAAUAGAAAAUGGCUAAGACUUAGCAUCCCUAAUUCCAGUGAAGCUGAUCACACAGAACCUGAGCGCUGCAGGGGACUUUUCUAGGGUCCAAACAGAGGGCAUCACUGCCAGAAGCUAGGCCAACUGAUGUCUGUCGCCUCUUAUAUAACUUAACCUUAAAAAGAAGUCCACUGGGAUUUGGAUGUUGCUUCUACAUUUUUCUUCUACUUGUAUUUCCAAGAUCAGUGGAUCCUGAAUACAUGCUUAUUGAAUAAAUGAGACAGUCAUAUCACCAAGAUCACGACUGCUGAACUAAGGGGCCAACUGAUUUUGUAUGAUGAUGAAACAAACUGCCACUGUUGAUUUGGGAGCCACACCUAAAGGACUUCGGUUGUUACCUUGCCAGUUAUCAUAGACCAGUGACCAUCUCUCUUCUUAAUGAUGAUGGUAGGCCCUAAAAUCUUCGUGAAUGCCCACAGAUGUCCCAGUGUUCAGGACAUUCAUAAAUCAUGCUUGGAAAACCACUGGGCCUGGGAGCGGUGUCUUUCUUUUGGCUUGGUGGCAGACACUGCUGGCUGCUUAUUCAAUGUCCAACGGAGCUGCAAUUAUUUUUUUAGGGUGGCAAUGUGCCCAGAUAAAAACAGGCACUUCCCUUCCCCAGCUUCCACUGCCCUUAGGGGCUGGCCAUGAAACACAGACCUGGCCAAGGAGUUGGUGGUGGGAGUUCCUGGGGAGAGAGUCUCCGACACUCCCCCAUUUCCUGAAAAAAGCAAAAACAAAAAACCCCCAGUCUUGCGAAAAGGCUUUUCACCCAGGCUCUUCUUCCUGGGACGUCUAGAGGUAGAACAACCCUCUUCAACCAUGCAGAUGAAAGCCACCUGAUAAGGGUGGGAGAGAAGAAAAUCAGGAGGAGGCCAGGUCCUCAAGCAGCGGUGCCAGCCCCGUACCACCUGUUUCUGAAUUCCUAUAUUAGGUGAAAAAAAUCCCCAUUUGGUUAAGUCACUGUGGUUAAGCUGAGCAUAAUUCUGACUAUAAAGGCUUAAAAUAUACGAAAGUUUCACCCCACUGUGGCAGUUUAUCUCCAUUAUGCAAAACAAUAUCAAGUUCAUUAAAAGUACUCUAAGGAGAUAAUGCAUAAUUAAAACAGCAGCUUACAUUUAUGGAAGAUUUGCUGUUGUCCUAGGCACUGUACUAUGCAGUUUACACAUAUUUAACCUUAUACAGCACUAGGCAUUAGAUACUAUUGUUACCACUUUACAAAAAAAAAGGCUUGUCAGACUCAGGGAGGUUGAACAAUGAAUUCAAGGUCACCCAGCUGGUAAGGGACAGCCUAUCCCAAAUCCAGGUCUGUCUGCCUCCAAAGCCCAUACCCCUCACCACUCAUUGUAUUUUACUACAAGAUCAAAGAAGAAAAUCUCUGGGUUCUGGUUUAUUCUGCCAGGGACAAAUCUCUCUACUACAAUCUCGAUUUAUUGUACAUUACAUUUUCCCGGUAUUCACAAACCAUAAGGAAUGAGCAUCUGUAAUUACAUACAUUUAAAGGGGGCUUUACUGGGGCAACCCAGGGCUUCCUCCAGGACUCAGGCCGGGAGGCGGCGGGGACCCGUGCGUCUGCCUCGUCUCGCGCCUGAUUUCCUCUCGGCUCCUUCCUACAUCCUUACUGCUGCCGAGUUGGGGUGUAUCAGGCUCUGAGCACCAAUUAUGUAAAGUUUAAUUACACAACUCCUUUGAGUCCAGAGUUCACUUGUCCCAGAGUAAGACCCUAGGAUGACUCCUCUUGCAGCUCUUCCCAGUGGGGGGAAAGAACAGGGAUCCUAGCGUGGAGCUGUCCCACCACUGUCGGCAAUGACGGUGGAUCUUUAAAUCCAAGAGUUUUCUUCUACAAAUUAUUAUAAAGUAUGAACCCAUGUAAGAACAUCCUGAGGGAGAUUACCAUUGUUGGGGCAGACAGGGGCAUUCCCUCUGUAUUCUCUUGUUUAUUGUGAGACUAGGGCUUAGUAUCAAUUUAUUGAAUAAAUAAAGGAAUGCAUAAAAGUAGCAGACCACUGUUGUUAAGUAUUUGACCUUUCUGAAAUAUUCCAAAGCAUGAAAAUUCAGAUUUCCUAAAAUACUAAAA